GGCCAUGUGGCGCAACUGAAUAGCGCACUUGAUUACGGCUCAAGAGGUUACAAGUUUGAAUCUUGUCAUGGUCA
rnacentral:tRNA from 2 species